rnacentral:lncRNA from 1 species
GAGACUUCAUUUUACUCUUUCGAUAGUGUCAUUGUUGGGUUUUCAUAUUAAGAAUUGAUUUGGGCUUAACAGAAUAGGUCGUGGGUUUCAUAUAUUUGGGCUAUAGAGCAUUGGUUAAGUAGGUGUAGCGGUUCAGACAACUAUCUCCUACGCUUUCUCAAAGAAACACCAGGGCUCCUCUUAACCAACUGACUAUGGAGGAUCCGGGUGGGUUACGAGAGUUAGAAAACCGGGCAAUCUAUGGUGGAAACCGCCGUCGGUGUAAGUUCGCGUAGCUACUUACUUGCCUUAGAAAACCUGGAACGUUACGGAUCUCAUAUGCAUUCAAUCACUCUCAUUAACUUCCCAAUUAACUCCAUCUCCCCCCACUCCUUCCAUGUUUUCACAUUCAUUGCAUCCUCUUUUCUUCCACUCGGUGAAUCUGCAAUUAUAAAUAGGUUAGAUUGUAUCCGUAAAUGCAAUUUCAUUCUUCACAAUCAUAAUAACACAAAAACUUUCCACACGUUUGAAUCCGAUGUUGAGCGAUUUGGAACUUAGAGAUCAAUUGAGGAAACAUCAUCAUCUCUGCAAGUCAUGCCAUCUUAGGAGACCAGUCUUGGGGUAGAUUCUUUUCAGAAAAAAACGUUUUUAAAGCUUAUAAGAUGAUAUAUUCCUCUGUACAAAGACUUUGAUGGUGAAGUUUAAAGUGAAAAGAAAAGAAGGAUAAGAAGAAAAGUGGUUGUUACAGAGAGAGAAAUACAUAAUCUUCAUUAUUUUUUUAGUGAGAGAUGUGGAAAUUUAAAAUUUUAGUUCUACCAUUAAAGAGGAAAGAGGAAUCGGAAGUUCUAAGAGAUACAGAAAAUCGAGAGCUAUCAACAGAAGCCUAUGAAGAUGGAAAAGUAUUUAUUAAAUGGCAACAUAAAUGUAAGUUACAAGCUGGCACGGGCUUGCCAUGUUAUUUAUUUGUUUUUUUGUUCAAAGGUUUGCCAUGUUAUAAUUCUCUCAAGUAUUGUCUCUGUUACAAAUAAAAGUUAAUUAAUGCAAGGUAUUUGUCAAAACAGGAAAAAUGUUUAAUACGUAAGAUUAGGGAUAGGGAAUAUGAUCAAAUCUUUUGAUCAAAACAAAAAAAAGGAAUAUGAUCAAAUCUUUCACAAGAUCAUAUUACCCUUAUUAAUCCCAUCAUAAACUGAUUUAUAUUACUUAGCUUGGUUCAAAGUUAAGAAAAAACAAGUCUAAUAUAAUUUUUGAUUUGGUGUUGGUUUCAGGUUUUCAAUAUAAAUUAUAAAUACAAAUUUUCAUUUAAAAUAUUUUUUCUUUUUAGAAAAAAUAUAUAAUAACAAAUUAAACAUACUGAAAUAUUUUUAAAUCCAAAAUAAAAUCACAUCAUAUAGACAUUAAUAAUGUGAUUUCAACUACCAAAUAAACGAAAAUUAGAUUCACAUGAGAAUGAAAUUGUAUUUUUAUUAAAUAAAAAACUAUAACAAAAAUGAUAAAAUUAAAUUAUACAAUGACCUUAAACAUAUUUGAAAAAAAAAUUAAAAAAAAAACAAGACGCAUUAAAAAUAAACAUAUCCGUUAUUAAUGUUUGAGAAUAAUAAUUUGAGAAGAUAUUGCCUUCGAGUCUGUCAACCAACACAAGAUUAAUACUUUAAAUUGUUAAGUAAAUAUGAAGGCUACUGAAUUAUUACAUAUUCUGAAUUAUUUUUGUUAAUUUUGUAUUUUUGUUUUUGAACAAAUUAAUUUUGUAUUCUCUAACAUAAAGAAUAAUGAAGGCUACUGUCAUUUUAAUUCAAAACCAGAAAUAUUUAUUAAAAAUAACAAUAUGAUCUCAAUUUUUUCAGUAUUUAUAAUAUUGUUUUCAAUCUGAUUUAAAAUAUUUAAUAAAAUUAAUAUAAAUUUAUAUAAAAUAAUUUUUAUUAUAACUUCCCGCCCGUAGGGCGGGCCGGCCCUAGUGUUAUUAUAUAUAAGAUAACAAACCAAACACUUGUUGAUUCAAUAUCAAAUCAAAUCAUUCCAUUUUUUCUUUCAGGCUACAUUCAAGUCUCCCUUGGGAAAAGAUCCAGUUGUUGUCGAUCUUAUGGGACUUGGAAAAGGUACAGCUUGGGUCAAUGGAAACAACAUUGGGCGUUAUUGGCCGGCAUUCAUUUCAAGCGAAAAUGGUUGUGAUGCAAAAUGUAAUUAUAGAGGUGCUUAUCAUGCUGAAAAAUGUCUGACCAAUUGUGGAGAACCCACACAAAGAUGGUACAUUUUCCACAUCUUAUUAGGUUCUAGAAUAAAAUAUGUUAAUGUUUAACCUGAGAAAUCUUUACAUGGAUUUUGUUGCUUUGUUAUUUUCUUGAACAGGUACCAUGUUCCUCGUUCUUUCUUGAAUGCAGAAGGAGAUAACACACUAGUUUUGUUUGAAGAGAUGGGAGGAAACCCAUCGCUUGUCAGUUUCCAAACUACUAGAGUAGGAAGUGUUUGUGCUAACGUCUACGAAAAAACAAUUAUUGAGCUUUCAUGCGACAGAAAACCCAUUUCUGCCAUCAAAUUUGCAUCCUUUGGUAACCCAGAUGGCAAUUGUGGAUCUUUUGAAAAAGGAACUUGUGAAUCAAGUAAAAACACGGCCGAUAUUCUCACACAAGAAUGUGUUGGAAAAGAGAAGUGUUCCAUUGAUGUCUCAACAGAAAAGUUUGGUGCACCAGAUUGCAGUGGUGCUCUUAGAAGGCUUGCAGUCGAAGCUAUAUGUUAAAUGGUUUUCUAGAUUUAUGGUGUUUUCUUUAUCAUAUUUCCAAAUUAUGCUAUAUUUUUUUUCAAAGAUUUAAUUCUUUUAAUAUUUGUUGGUGGUUGUUUUAUUCAAUAAAAGAACAUAUUCUUAUAUACAUUUUACACGGUCAUCUUCUUUUCCCAAAACAUUCAUGGUCAUUUCUUCUCCGCCAUCAUCACUCUCUCUGAACAAUUGAAUAAUUGUUCCCUUCGAUAUUUAUUAUUUUUCUUUUUAAUAUAUAACAAUGACUAAACGGCGUUAGCUCAGCUAAUUAUAUCAUUAAAUAUUCUAGAUAUGGAGGAUGGUAUCCUCGAAGUUGUUUUCUUAUUGGCAAGUUUCUCCAACAAAGGUGAUUCUGGUGAGAAUGCAUAUCUAGGUGCAGAGAAGAGAAAAUCGACGAUGACGAUAAAAACAAAUCAAAUUUGUGGUUAUGCUUUGAUUAGAGAAACCAGUUAAGAAACUCGAGACGAUUAAAUUAGCCUUUGUUGUUUGGGAGUUUUUAAAAAUAAGGAUUUGAUGGAUACUGGUUCUUGUUUGUAUAAGAAAAUUUAAAAGUUUUAUUUAAUGCAAAAAUAAAAAAAAUGAAAAUAUGUCACACUAAUUAUUCAAACUCUUGUAAGGUAGCACAACAAAAUUAGAUAUUUACCAACUGAGUUUGUGCGACUAACUGAAUAUUAAGGCAAAGCGAAUAUUUAUAUAUGUAAAAGACAACUCAUAAAUUGUUUUUAGUGGUUGGCUAAAAAUAUGUUAUCAAAGUAGUUUUAAGCGUUAUGAUAAUAUUUAUUUAUUGCUCAUACACAAAUUUGAUUAACACAAGCAAGAUAUUUAUUAUAUAAAAAAAGAGGUAGUCAAGUCAAUCAGUUCUAUCUCCUUUGUAAAAAGUGGAAAGUAUUAAAAAAAUUCAGACUUAAACUGGUUUAAACAUUAGAUGAAAAUAUAUAAAUAAAUAUGAUGCUUUUAAGAUUUACAUUAUUUACAAAUCAAAUAAUUUUUCCUAUUGAGACAUGUUUAAGAUAUGAUGAAUUGCGAACAAAUUUUAACAACCAAGCUACACUGUUUCAGAUUUUUGGAAAAAAUUAUGUUAUUAUCCAAAUCGGAUUUAAGUUGAAACCGAGGAUAAAUAAAUUUUUAUUGGUUAAACAUUUCACAAAAAUAGUUAAAAUUUUUAACAAAAUUUAUACUUAAAUAAUAUGGCAGUUAGAAUUUUGUUUUUGUUUUCUGGAAUAUCUAUAAUUAUCCAUAUUAUCUUUAGGUAACGAUUUUAUACCCCUAUAAAAGCUUUGUUUCCUUUCAUAUUUCUUCAUUCAAAAACCAUUCUUCUAAGUAAAUAUGGUUUCUCUAAGAUUUCUUUUAUGUUUUCUUUUUGUAAGUAGUGUCUAUGCCACAAUUGUUUCUCAUGAUGGCCGAGCCAUUACCAUUGAUGGUCACCGCCGAGUUCUCUUUUCUGGUUCUAUCCAUUAUCCUAGAAGCACUCCUGAGGUAUUUAAUCUACCUUACAUCAAACAAUAUGUGUGGUCCUAGUAUUUUAUGUUUGCUACUAAUUAUAAUCGUUUUUUGUUAAUAUGUUUAGAUGUGGCCGGAUCUUAUAAAAAAGUAAAGAAGGAGGUCUUGAUGCGAUCGAAACAUAUGUCUUCUGGAAUGCGCAUGAGCCUACUCGCCGUCAAUAUGAUUUUUCUGGAAAAUUAGAUCUUAUUCGAUUUCUGAAAACCAUUCAAAAUGAAGGAUUGUAUGCUGUUCUUCGCAUAGGACCAUAUGCAUGUGCUGAGUGGAAUUACGGGUAAUAUACUUAGAAUGGAUUUAGGUAGUCUCUUAAAGUGCAAUAUAUACCAGUUUAAUGCAUUUUGAUAAUAAGAUAGCUUCUUGUAUGGUCAUAGUGCGGUUUUCCAUAUAAUGUUUUGAUCAAUAAAUGGUCCAAUGAAUUGAUUUUGUUAAUCAUUAUACCAACACUUGUGUAUCAUAAAUGUCAGUACUAGUCUUUUAGUUAUAGUAUAUAUUUUUAAGAAAUUAUUAUAAUGAGUUGGCUUCUUGUAUGAUGAUAUUACUGUUUAUCAUAUAAUAUUUUUGACCUCGAUUUUUUUUAUUAUUGUAAACAGAGGAUUCCCAGUGUGGUUGCACAACAUGCCUGGAAUGGUGUUCAGAACUACUAAUAAAGCAUAUAUGGUAGUCUUACCUGAUGAUCAAUAUUUUUUUUUAUCAUAUAUGUAGUGUUAUUUUCAAUUAAAUUUUAUAUGAAUGAUUUAUGUAUAGGAUGAGAUGCAAAACUUCACAACUAUGAUAGUAGACAUGGUCAAGAAAGAAAAAUUAUUUGCAUCACAAGGAGGCCCAAUUAUUCUUGCUCAAGUAAAUCGAUUUAAUCUUUUAAAUACAUUAUGUGGUGUUUCUUAAUGUUAUAUACAAUUCUUAACAAUUUUUUUUUUUGUUUUAUUAAUCUUGCAGAUAGAAAAUGAGUAUGGAAAUGUAAUGGGACCCUAUGGAGAAUCGGGUAAAGCAUACAUUAAGUGGUGUGCAAACAUGGCUCAGUCUCUUGAUGUUGGUGAUCCAUGGAUAAUGUGUCAACAAAAUGAUGCUCCUCAGCCUAUGGUAAUAAGCUCAGUCUAGUUAUAAUGAGUAUUUAUUUAAUAUAUUCAAAGGCUAAUUAUUUUAAAUUGUUUCUGCUUUUAUAGUUGAAUACAUGUAAUGGCUUUUACUGUGACAAUUUUGUACCAAACAAUCCCAACACUCCUAAGAUGUGGACUGAGAACUGGACCGGAUGGUAAGUUUUAUUUUCAGUAUGAUUAUAUUCUUAUUAUUUUGUAAAUAUUUUAUCAUAAUAUUUAUUUUGUCUUCUAUUUGUUUAGGUUUAAGCAAUGGGGUGGUAAAAAUCCUCAUAGAACAACCGAAGAUGUUGCAUUUUCUGUUGCAAGAUUCUUCCAAAGAGGAGGAACUUUUAAUAAUUAUUAUAUGGUAAAAAUAUAAUAAUGAAAUUUAACUUAUUUAUUAAAAUAAGCUCACACAAAAUCGACAUUAACUAGAAAGAGUAAUUGAACUGUUUUUAUCAUUGUAGUACCAUGGAGGCACGAACUUUGACAGAACCGCAGGUGGUCCAUACAUCACAACUUCAUAUGAUUAUGAUGCUCCCCUUGACGAAUAUGGUAAAUUUAAAGUAUAUUCAUAUACAAAAAUAUUUUAGAAGUUUAUAUUUUUACUUACAUGGGAAAUCUAUUAGGUAAUUUGAGUCAACCAAAAUACGGGCAUUUGAAACAACUUCAUGAUGUUCUUCACUCUAUAGAGAAAACUCUAACAUACGGAAACAUCUCCACCAUUGACUUUGGAAACUCUGCAUCGGUAAUAUUCUUGUUAUUUUUUAUCAGUAUAUUCUUGAAAUAAUUACUUAUCAUGAAAAUAUUACAUAGGCAACAAUUUAUAAAACCGAAGAAGGAUCAAGCUGCUUUUUUGGAAAUGGAAAUGAAAAUUCAGAUGCAACAAUUAGUUUCCAAGGAGAAUCUUACGUUGUCCCGGCUUGGUCUGUUACCAUUUUACCGGAUUGCAAAAAUGAGGCUUAUAACACCGCCAAGGUUUUUUAUUUAAAAUUUUCUUUUGUGGACUUUAAAUUUUCAUACUAACAACCAUUAUUCAUUCAAAGUUGUAACCAAAGUUCAUUUUUUGUUGGUUUUAUAUUUUCAGAUUACCACACAGACUUCAAUGAUGGUUAAGAAACCAAAUGAAGCUGAGGAUACCCCUUCAACUCUGAAAUGGUCAUGGACACCAGAAAACAUGGACAACUUCCUUUUGAAAGGAAAAGGAGAAUCUACACAUACACAACUAUUUGAUCAGAAAGUAGUCACCAAUGACCAAAGUGAUUAUCUAUGGUACAUGACUACCGUUAAGUUUAAAAAACGAGAUCCUUUUGUGGGUAAAACCAUGUCUCUUCGCAUCAACAGUACUGCUCAUGUCCUUCACGCUUUCGUCAAUGGAAAAAAUAUUGGUAAGUAACUCUUAUAUAUGUUUUACAAAUCUCAAUAACACCAACUUACCAAAAAGUCUUUGAUUUAUAUUUGUAGGUAAUCAACACGCUGAGAAUGGAAAAUUUAACUAUGUAUUUGAGAAAGAUGUGAAGUUUAAGUCUGGUCGUAAUGUCAUUGCUCUUCUUAGCAUAACUGUGGGACUUGCGGUAAGUUCUUAGAUAUUCUUUAUCUUGUAUUUAUUUUUAAAGUUAAAUCUCUUAUUUUUUUACAUUUUAACUGAAAAUAAAAAAUUUUGACAAUUUUUUUUUAUAGAACUAUGAUGCUUUCUUUGAAAGUAAGCCGGCUGGAAUCACUGGACCCAUUUUUAUUACUGGAAUAAAUGGUGAUGAAACUAUAGUUAAGGACUUGUCUGCUCAUAAAUGGAGCUACAAAACCGGUUUAAAUGGGUUUGACAACCAACUCUUUAGAACGGAAGCAAUGUCUAAAUGGUCAGUUGAAAAUGUACCGUUUAACCGAACCAUGACUUGGUAUAAGGUAAACAGAUGUUAUUAUAUAUAAGAUAACAAACCAAACACUUGUUGAUUCAAUAUCAAAUCAAAUCAUUCCAUUUUUUCUUUCAGGCUACAUUCAAGUCUCCCUUGGGAAAUGAUCCAGUUGUUGUCGAUCUUAUGGGACUUGGAAAAGGUACAGCUUGGGUCAAUGGAAACAACAUUGGGCGUUAUUGGCCGGCAUUCAUUUCAAGCGAAAAUGGUUGUGAUGCAAAAUGUAAUUAUAGAGGUGCUUAUCAUGCUGAAAAAUGUCUGACCAAUUGUGGAGAACCCACACAAAGAUGGUACAUUUUCCACAUCUUAUUAGGUUCUAGAAUAAAAUAUGUUAAUGUUUAACCUGAGAAAUCUUUACAUGGAUUUUGUUGCUUUGUUAUUUUCUUGAACAGGUACCAUGUUCCUCGUUCUUUCUUGAAUGCAGAAGGAUAUAACACACUAGUUUUGUUUGAAGAGAUGGGAGGAAACCCAUCGCUUGUCAGUUUCCAAACUACUAGAGUAGGAAGUGUUUGUGCUAACGUCUACGAAAAAACAAUUAUUGAGCUUUCAUGCGACAGAAAACCCAUUUCUGCCAUCAAAUUUGCAUCCUUUGGUAACCCAGAUGGCAAUUGUGGAUCUUUUGAAAAAGGAACUUGUGAAUCAAGUAAAAACACGGCCGAUAUUCUCACACAAGAAUGUGUUGGAAAAGAGAAGUGUUCCAUUGAUGUCUCAACAGAAAAGUUUGGUGCACCAGAUUGCAGUGGUGCUCCUAGAAGGCUUGCAGUCGAAGCUAUAUGUUAAAUGGUUUUCUAGAUUUAUGGUGUUUUCUUUAUCAUAUUUCCAAAUUAUGCUAUAUUUUUUUUCAAAGAUUUAAUUCUUUUAAUAUUUAUUGGUGGUUGUUUUAUUCAAUAAAAGAACAUAUUCUUAUAUACAUUUUACACGGUCAUCUUCUUUUCCCAAAACAUUCAUGGUCAUUUCUUCUCCGCCAUCAUCACUCUCUCUGAAAAAUUGAAUAAUUGUUCCCUUCGAUAUUUAUUAUUUUUUUUAAUAUAUAACAAUGACUAAACUGCGUUGGCUCAGUUGGUAAAUAACUAAUUUUAGAGUAAUAAAAUACACGAGUUCAAGUCUUAUUGAGACUUUUUUAUUUUUAUUUUUGUAUUAAAUAAAAUCUUGAGCUUAUAACCAAUCACACAAAAUGAUAGAGGAAAAACAUCACAUUUGAAAGCGUAACAGAGUGUUUUACUUUAAAGAAAUUGUAUAUAAAUACGUGAAGAAUAUAAGACUAUAUCUUAAAUAGUAUAUUAGACUCUCUAUAAAUAGUAUAGUUCGCACAAGUACGAUGUAUAAUUUGUAGUUUAUAGGUUUUAAUUGUUCACAGUAUUCAAUACUUUUUGGCCAUCUUUGAUUUUAAAUAAUAUAACCAAAAUAUGUUAUCAUUUGUAAAUGCUUAGUUUGAUAAUAAGUACAAACCAAUCGAUUCAUAACAAUGAUACAUUAACAAAACAUACCAAAUGUUUAUUUACUGUGCAGCCACAUUUCUAUUCUACUUCGUCAAAUAGAAUGGAAUACUACACAUAACACACUGGAACUGAAUGACAUGAUGUAAAGCCGAUGAAGUAAUUAAGGAGAAGAAUGAGGAGACGAAUGAGAAAAUAUGAUUUGAAGAAGAGCUGGUGCCGGAGUCGAUGAGGACGAAAAGAAACCACCACAAAAGGUGCAGAAGAAAAAGAGACAAGAAGAAAAAGAGACAGUGGGAUGAAGAGACAUGGGUGACGACGGCAGUGGAGAGAAGGUUGUGGCAACGAUGAAACAACCGGUGGUGAUGGUAGUCGCAUCAGGUGGAAUAAUAUAAACAUAAUAUAUAUUAUAUUGCAUUUCAUUUAUAUUCUUUAUGUAUACAAUAGUAUAGAACAUAAAAAAUGUUCGCACUAAGAUGUGGAGGCAGUGGAGAGAAGGUUGUGCAACGAUGAAACAACUGGUGAUGGUGAUAGUUGUUGUGCUGAUCAUAUGGAAUAAUAUAAACAUAAUAUAUAUUGCAUUGCAUUCAUUUCUAUUCUAUAUGUAUACAAUAGUACAGAACAUAUAAAAUAUAAAAUGUUCAUUUUCUCCGGUCAUUUUUACUAACUGUGGCGUGUAUGUAACAGCAGCAAAAAAAAAGGUGUUUUUCUCCAUGUCAAAUACAUAGGAUGUGGAGGAAGUGAGUCCUAGAAUGUGAAUAAAAAAAAGAGGAAGAAAGUGAGGGGUUUGUGCUUUCAAAUUUGCUAAACACUAGUAGCGUGAAUGUUAGGAAAUUGGCAACACAAUAUUCGUUUCAAAUCAACUCUGGUGCGUCUAAAGCGUACGUCCAAUGAAUAGAUAUAUCAAACUGUAUUCAUUUCUACAGUAUCACACCAACCUAAUUCAAAAUUGCGAUACCAAGCGAUGAGAAAGUAAGUUACACAACAAUAGUACAAGAAUUUAAACGUUUCUUUUCCUAUUUUGUUGUUAACUUAAUAUGGUUUUUUUAUCAGGGGGUAACAAUCUAAAGCAACUUCUUAUGGAACUGUAAAUGAUCAUGGUUUAAUUAUCAUGAAUCACGGAGAAUGGUUUGAGAUUAAUAGUUUCAAACUAAUGCACGCAUCUGGGAUUACACAAGGACGACUAGAAAAAGAUACCAUCUUCUCCUAGACAAAAAUACACUUGACUUACCAGAUUCCACCAACAGCCUGCUGCAACUAAGUUGACAUUAAGACUAAUUGUAUGGGAUACAUGAUAUUUUUCAUUUCAUUUGUGUUUUUAUUUUCUGAAUAAUUUGUUGAUGUUUUCUAUUUUAACGAUUCUGGCUUUUUUGUAACCUUCCAUCUGCCAGUUUAAUUGAUGAAUUGUCUACUUCAAGUAAUUUUCGCAGAAAUAAAUUAUAUUCAUGUAUUAUUUUUAGUUUUGUAUGAUUCAAAGUUGAAGAAGAACUUUGAAUAAUAAACUAAUCUAACCACACCAAAAAUUCCAUCAAAUUACAGCAGCACAUAUAAAUCUGGAAGACAAACCUGCGAUUGGUUUAUAUAUAUCAGCUUGAAAGGCAUAAUAUUUGGUUCUGUCAGUUCUCGGAUCAUCAGUGACGAAGUACUGCUCGGCUUUUGAAGUCCUUGGAGCUUGAGCUAUCGAGUAAUUGUUGUCGGAGUUUUAGAGGAAUCACUGUACAUAUGAAACUUCAUCUUGAAUCGAAAGAGGAGAAUUGUGGGAUUGUUUUGAUCGAUUGAAAGGGAUCAGAUCGAAUUUUGAUUAAUCCACCGAAACAUUAAAAAAUAUUGAAAGCGUUUAGAUACGAUGUAGCCUUAUUUGGUGCAGAAUCAUUUUAUGUUUUGGGUUGUUACUCACCUGCCCCAAUUGUUUUUUUUUUUUUUUUUCCGUCGAAAAGUUUUUAAUAUUAAAAACAGGCCAAGCCCAAUACAAAUAACAAACAUACAAAUUGCAAACUCG